UAGAGGUCAGGUCUGGUCUUAUUUAUACUGUAUAGCUGAAGAGAGUGUUCAGCAAAGUAACAGAAAAUAUGGUAAAUUGAUUGGAACUCCAAGAAGCAUAAUGAGAAGGCCUAGCAGUGAACAGAAGACAAGACUGGAUGUGUAAUAUGGGAGGCAAGUAUCCAUUGGAAUGGGGUGAGCGUUGUUAAAGCUUUUGCUGGAAAUCUGAACUCUUUCCAAUGUCCAAUGUCAAUAAAGAUGUGGAGAAAAUAAUGUUUAUCAUUACCCGAUGGAUGGUCAUUCUAGCGUAAUGACCUCAAAUAAAGUCUGUGUUGCUGUACCAAUGCUGGUUGAUUGCAGUCUUCUUCCUCAGUCACUUAGGAAGAGGUGCAGGUCUGUAGACAGCUGAAUCUUUGGCUUGAUGUCCACUGAAAUUUAAGAGAGUAACCCUCCCUUACUUGGAACUUUGCUACAGUUUGUUAUUGCAGCACUAGAAAACUAGUAGAAUAAGUACAAAUCUGUCUCACUGAGAGUGCUUCUAAGAUGCAGUGCAUAAAGACGUGUGAACAGUUAAUAUGGAGACACAAGGGGAUUGUUUUCAAGUAAAGCUACCUGGAAAAGCUUUUGAUGAAGUCAGUUUUGGUCAAAGUUUUAAAGAACAUGGAUUCGUACUAGG
rnacentral:lncRNA from 1 species